rnacentral:rRNA from 1 species
UACAGAGGUCCCAAGCGUUGUUCGGAUUCACUGGGCGUAAAGGGUGCGUAGGCGGUCGGGUAAGUCUGAUGUGAAAUCCCACGGCUUAACCGUGGAAGUGCAUGGGAAACUGGAAGCUUGAGUACUUAAGAGGAUCGCGGAAUUCCCGGUGUAGAGGUGAAAUUCGUAGAUAUCGGGAGGAACACCAGUGGCGAAGGCGGCGAUCUGGGAAGAUACUGACGCUGAGGUGCGAAAGCGUGGGGAGCAAACAGG